CGCAAAACGUCAGGAGUGGGCCAGAGUAUAAAGUCGUAGGAUCAAGGUUAAACGUCACACUUGACCUUCAUAGUGCCCACUUGGGUCUCUUCCAACUGUACCUUCCUUUCUUUCCUGCUCUAAAGCUUUUUAAUACACUUCUACUCCUGCUCUGAAACUUGCCUUGGUCUCUUUUUCUGCCUUAUGCCCCUCAGUCAAAUUCUUCUGAGAAGGCAAGAACUGAGGUUGCUGCAGACCGGUAUGGAUUCGCCCCUGGUAACUCAGAUACUUUCCACCCCUAACAUGUCUACCAUUAUCUGUCCACAAAACCUCUGGAAUCCUUCAUAACUACAACCCUUGCCCUGAGAAAUUCCUCUUGUUUAUCCAUCUUCCCUCUUUCCCAACCUCAGUCCUUCUCUCUAGGAUCUGAAUCCUCAAUAGUCUCUCUGUCAGUUUAAUGUCUGAGAAAUCAGUUGGUGCAAUACUAUCUAGGCACAAACUCUGCCUUCCCAGGCUAUAAUCCUAAACUCCAUUGUUAUAACAAAGCAAGCUGCCCAUGAAGGAGCAUGGGACCACAUACUUACAUCUUAAGAAAGAAAAUCAGAAGACUUGUGUGGGAGACCAGAAUAUGCCUUACCAUAGCAUGAAGGACUGUUGAGCUGAAGGCAUCUAAGAAGAAACAGAUACAGCAGAGCUCUCUGCCCUCCCUUUAUUUGCCUGAAAGCAGGACAUAGAUUUAUAAACACAAAAGGCUCCAAGAAAUGGAAUUUUAUUAAAAGAUGGAAGAGGAGGAUAUUUGAGAGAAGGGUAACUACCUAAUACUGAAAACUAAUACAGUCCAGGAUACAUAGAAGAUGAUCAAUAACACUUAUUCAAUCUAAAUUACCCUAUCAGCAAGUGGAGAAUUCUCUCUCGGGAUUGCUGUU